rnacentral:sRNA from 1 species
UAGGGUUACAGAAAGAGAGAGAUGAAAGUUUGUGAGGCAUCUGAAAGCCAAGAUGAAGAGGAUGACGGUGCUGGUAGGGUUUUAAUAUAUCGCAUCCAUGAUUUACCAGAUCAGAUGAAAAUCUCAAAGAGCGUGGUCUGAUCAACAAAACACCAUUGUUUGGGGGUCUCAGUUGAACCGCUGAACCACCCUUCAGGAAUCCGGUACCGCAAAACCUCUUCUGCUGUUUGAGAGAAUGGUACCGGUGACAAAGAGGCUCGUAGAGCGAGAGCCGUCAAGACUGAAGUGCAAGCGCAUGCUCUGAAUGGCGGACUGCGACUCAAGGAGACUCUUCUGAGUUCUGACCCAAUCAUCCGAUAACAACAACAACGCAUUCAAGAGACACUCUCAGUUAAAGAGAAAGAUCAGAAGCAAACAUCUCAAAAGGAGGACAUUGUUUAUAUCUAGUCUUAAUCUGAACCAAGCUGUUGGUCCACAACUCUCAAUUCAUUUGCAAGUCCUAUAUAUGUUAUUUAGAAGUUUAAAGUAGAAAAGAUACAUACAAGACAUAUAUAAGCCUUCUGUGUAUUUUGGCAUAACGUACCCUUCCUUCAUCUAACAGUAAUAAAUCAAUGUCCUUGCCUGCCUGCCUAAGAUUUUAC